rnacentral:rRNA from 1 species
AGCAGCCGCGGUAAUUCCAGCUCCAAUAGCGUAUAUUAAAGUUGUUGCAGUUAAAAAGCUCGUAGUUGAAUUUCGGGAUCAAUAUACCGGUCAUGCCUUGGUAUGCACUGGUAUCUUUGAUUUCUCCCUUCUGACGAACUUUGAUGUCAUUAAUUUGGUGUCAUAGGGAAUCAGGACUGUUACUUUGAAAAAAUUAGAGUGUUUAAAGCAGGCUCACGCUUGAAUACAUUAGCAUGGAAUAAUGAAAUAGGACGUUUGAUUCUAUUUUGUUGGUUUCUAGGAUCGACGUAAUGAUUAAUAGGGAUAGUUGGGGGCAUUAGUAUUCAAUUGUCAGAGGUGAAAUUCUUGGAUUUAUUGAAGACUAACUACUGCGAAAGCAUUUGCCAAGGAUGUUUUCAUUAAUCAAGAACGAAAGUUAGGGGAUCGAAGACGAUCAGAUACCGUCGUAGUCUUAACCAUAAACUAUGC